UACACACCGCCCGUCGCACCUACCGAUUGAAUGGUCCGGUGAAGCCUCGGGAUUGUGGCUGGUUUCCUUUAUUGGAAUCUGACCACGAGAACCUGUCUAAACCUUAUCAUUUAGAGGAAGGUGAAGUCGUAACAAGGUUUCCG
rnacentral:rRNA from 1 species